rnacentral:lncRNA from 1 species
AGCGGACAGCAGUUCGGACGAGGGCUCGCUUAAUAAUCCUACAGAAUAGCAGCAGGAGACUAUUAGGGCCCGCGCAAGGCCUUAAGCUGUGGCGCAAGCCCAUCCUUGGGCGGUUGUACCCCUGGCUUGGGAAAAGCAGCCGCGGGGAACACGAACCGCUCCUUUGUUCCUGUAGUGACCUGGUUUGAGUAGUGAGACCCGUUGGAAGUUACCUGCUGCCUCACAGGCCACAGACAGAGAAAAGAGAGCAGCACCUGAAUUGGCAAUGCAGAUGCUACAACCUCACCCUAAUUCUUCUAGCACAAAAGAGGCCUUUUAGAAGAUGUUCCUGCCACAUCUCAUGCCCUGGGGAUAGUGAAUGUCACAUGACCAGAAGUGAUAAAGGGGAGAAGAACUUACAUACACUGUGGGAAGACCUAUGUCCAUGAUAACUUCUUGUCCCUUGUGAGAGCCUGGCAAGGGCUAGAAGAAGCCCUGGAGACCCAAAACUGUGGCAAGCCAUGUGACGAUGUCACCGCAUGGUCUAACAUGGCAGUGGGCAUCCCUGUCCCCACCAGGAUUCAGAAAAGGCCAGGAGGGACAGCCAGGAGUAAGAUGAGGUAAGGUAAGUGUGUUGCAAAUGCAGCCCUGCUCUAAGAGAAGUAUGACCAUUUGCUUUGUAAAUAAUUCAGAAUGGCCUUUUGCAUUCCUCUAUGAGGCAAAGGUGAGGAACAAAGAGUCUGCUUUUAUCCAAGUUUGACACUUUCAUAUGCUCCACAGUGGCCAUUUUGUGACUGAUACCCACAGCACCUUCUCACAAAUCUAUAGGUUCCCACAGGUUCACUAAGCUAGGAACUCCAGGAAAUAAUAAUCUUAUUUGCU